rnacentral:rRNA from 1 species
CGCAUCUGUGCAUGCAGCAUAUCAAUAAGCGGAGGAAAAGAAACUAACAAGGAUUCCCCUAGUAACGGCGAGUGAAGCGGGAAGAGCUCAAAUUUGAAAUCUUAAAGGGUUUCCCUUUACGAAUUGUAGUUUAAAGAAGUGUUUUCUGUUGAGGUUUUGGUAAAAGUUCUUUGGAAUAGGACAUCAUAGAGGGUGAGAAUCCCGUAUUUGACCUUUACUUUCAACUUUGUGAUACACUUUCAAAGAGUCGGAUUGUUUGGGAAUGCAGUCCAAAAUGGGUGGUAAAUUUCAUCUAAAGCUAAAUAUUGGCGAGAGACCGACAGCGAACAAGUACCGUGAGGGAAAGAUGAAAUGAACUUUGAAAAGAGAGUUAAACAGUACGUGAAAUUGUCAAAAGGGAAGCGUUUGACACCAGUGUUGUUUUUCUGAAAAUCAAUUAAAGAACUGUUUAUGCUAAGUUGUUUAGACUUUAUCAGCUAUCUGUUUAGUUUUGAGCUUUUCUUUAAUGCACUUUUCAGUUAACAAGUCAACAUCAAUUUCUUUUGCUGUAAAAAAGCUUGAGGAAGGUGGCUUGAGAUUCGUCUUAAGUGUUUAUAGCCUCUUGCCUAUGCAGUCGGAGAGAUUGAGGUCUGCAGCGUAGAUCCUUCGGGGCUAAAUGCAUUUGUGCUAAGUUAUAACAUUUUAUAGACAACUUGUUGACUAUGAUUUGUCUUGUAGCUUACUCGCUUAUGUUAUUUUACCUACGCUUAGGAUGUUGAACGCGCACAGAGUCUC